rnacentral:rRNA from 1 species
UACGUAGGGUGCAAGCGUUGUCCGGAAUUAUUGGGCGUAAAGAGCUCGUAGGCGGUCUGUCACGUCGGCUGUGAAAACCCGAGGCUCAACCUCGGGCCUGCAGUCGAUACGGGCAAACUAGAGUACUGCAGGGGAGACUGGAAUUCCUGGUGUAGCGGUGAAAUGCGCAGAUAUCAGGAGGAACACCGGUGGCGGAAGGCGGGUCUCUGGGCAGUAACUGACGUGGAGGAGCGAAAGCCGUGGGGAGCGAACAGG